GUUGGCUUCUCCCUUUCGCAAGAAGUAGCUUCUGGUGGGACCCGCUCUCAUUUUUAUCCUUCAUCUCUUUUCUUCUUCGCAUCUUCUUUCUUUCUUUCUUCUUUCUCUCUUUCCUCCAUCAAAAAACUUCAUUUUUAAGAGAAAUGAAUGUUCACAUCUCAUACAUAUUUUUUUCAUUUUACUGGUAGUCUUUUUUAUUUAUCUUACAAGGAUUCCAACAUUUUUGUUGGCUUAUAAAUAUUUGGAUUAGGUUUCGAACCCUAUUUUAGGGAUAAGUUGACGUCGUCGCAAUUGAUCGAUCAAAAAAAAUCAAUGGGUUUGGAAAAAUUACGACAAUCAAAUAGUAAUUCCGUUGUUUCUAUGCUAGCUAGCAGUAAACAAAAGAGAAAAGAUUGAAAGUGAACGGGAGAUGGAAUCGGAACAGGGGAAGAGAAGAAUUGCUACAGAAUUUUAAUUGAUUGUUUAAAGCUUUGAAAAUGAGGUGAAUUUCGUCGUCAUUGGUUCAAACUGAAUUUCGUUGGUUGAUCACAUCAGCUAAUACAAGGCCUGCGGGAAAGAGGUCAUUUUAUCACAAGAUCUUCACCGAGGGCUACUUUGGAUAUACACACAACACAAUCUUUUUACCUUGUUCACGCUAAAUUUGGAUGUUUGAUAUAUUUUGUUUUGGAUUCCAUGAACUUAUAAUACAGUAGUUAUACAAUAAUGAACAUAUUUUGACUUCCAUC